UGAUUCGUUCGUAUAACGAUUAUUGUAAACCGUUCGAAAUCCCCGGACCCGUGAACGGCGGCACCGUUCGUCCGUAAUUCUUCUCUACCUGUAUAUCAGACGAUUACAGCGUUUCGUUAUAAAACAUAUAUCGAGUAAUUCAUAUCGUCAAAUGCCCACAAACAGCAGCGAAGAACACCACUGCACCGAUGAAAACGUUUCACUGUUCACUCCCCGUUGAAACGGGUAUUACAACUCGGUUCGCGUACGGAUUGA